CGUCGAUACAAAUACAGAAAAAAAAUGUAAAUAAUCUAGCGAAGCGUUAGAGAUGUAUAUACAUACAAUACAAUAGAUUUCUUCGUUAUAAAUGAAACGUCGAGCAACGCGUGUGGUCUCCAAAAUAAACAGGGAGAAGGGACGGCUCGACCUAUGCUUGCGUUUCAUUUUAUUUUCAAGGAGACCGUCAAGAAGAGAAGACGUAUCAAGAAAUCCUGUACUAAAAUCAACUACAACGUUAUUAUUUCUGUUCUUUGUUCCGUUCCAUUGUGUCCGAGUUUAUUUUCAAGAAGACCGUCAAGGAGAAAGGACGUACCAAGGAAUCUUGUAUUAAAAUCAACUACAACGUUAUUAUUUUUGGUGCCAUUAAAGAAAGUUACUCGAACAAUGACUGAGUUCGUCGACGAUCCAACCAGUCGAUCGAGUUAAAGCGAUCCACGAAAGUCUCGAAGAGCUUUAAUUGCACUUGAAGGCCUUUGAGAGGCCAAUGUACCUACACCAUCUAACGUCGACUUCAUUCGACCGUAAAUACGAGUAAGCUUUUGUCCCGGAGACCCCGCAUUGCGGCUUUGUCUUUUAUUUUGUGAGGAACGAAAAAAAAAAGAAAAAAGAAAAAAAGAAAAGGAAAAGAAAAAAAAAGAAAGAAUCUCCUGCAAUUUUCAACGCGAACCGCUUUAAACUUACUCUCUACCUUUCACUUCACCCUACGUCCAUCUCACGAAGCAGAUCGGCUUACCUAACAGAUAAUUCCGUUCGUUCGUUUAUUCGUUUGCUUUCAUUGAAUGAUAAA